GAUGAACGCUGGCGGCGUGCCUAAUACAUGCAAGUCGAGCGAACAGACGAGGAGCUUGCUCCUCUGACGUUAGCGGCGGACGGGUGAGUAACACGUGGAUAACCUACCUAUAAGACUGGAUAACUUCGGGAAACCGGAGCUAAUACCGGAUAAUAUAUUGAACCGCAUGGUUCAAUAGUGAAAGACGGUUUUGCUGUAUCUUAUAGAUGGAUCCGCGCCGGAUUAGCUAGUUGGUAAGGUAACGGCUUACCAAGGCAACGAUGCGUAGCCGACCUGAGAGGAUGAUCGGCCACACUGGAACUGAGACACGGUCCAGACUCCUACGGGAGGCAGCAGUAGGGAAUCUUGCGCAAUGGGCGAAAGCCUGACGGAGCAACGCCGCGUGAGUGAUGAAGGUCUUCGGAUCGUAAAACUCUGUUAUUAGGGAAGAACAAAUGUGUAAGUAACUAUGCACGUCUUGACGGUACCUAAACAGAAAGCCACGGCUAACUACGUG
rnacentral:rRNA from 1 species